rnacentral:misc_RNA from 1 species
CUGCCAUCCGUCCACGGGACGCCCACAGCGACCCACAGACAAGAUGAUGUCCAAGGCCGCCUUUAUGAUGCAGGACCACGUGCGCCGCAACUAUGUCAUGAUCACGGAUGUGUGCAGCCCGAACACAUUCUUCGUGCGCGGCCGGCUGCCCUUCCCGCAGGGCCUCACGGCGAUUGCGGUGCUCUUCAAGAACCAGCGGCCGGCCGACGUCUACGCGCACCCGUACUUUAUCGAGAAGCAGAGCGACCCGUCCCAGCCGUCUCCGCAGCUGCACCUGACAGAGGAGUCGCAGGGUAUCAUGAAGGUCAUGAGCGGCCUCCGCUACAUGCGAGACGACAACACGAAACUCGACAACACAAUGGUGGUGGUGACCGACUACAAGGUCGUGGUGGAGGGGCGCAUGCCGAGCGUGCCGCAGGCCGCGUCGACGGCGCCGGGUGGACCAGAGAUCGUGCCGGCGCACGACGGGGGCGACAGAGGCGCUCAAGGGCACCACCCCGCCGCAGGUAGUGCCGCGGGAACCUCCCCGGGGCUCACGCUGGAGCAGCGCGUCAUGCUGCGGCGUACCGUCCACCAUGUGACGCAGAUCCCCGGCGGCGGUGGCGAUGCCGGCUUGGGCCUCGGCGGCACGCGCAGCCCCUUCUCGGCUGCCUCGAGGCGGGCAGCCACACCAUCAGCGGCGUCCGCAUCGUCGUCGAGGUCACUGCAGGCAAGUGCGAGCGAGGCGGCGCGCACCGCCGGCGACAGCGACCCAUCCGCUGCUUGCAGCGGUGAUGCCGCCUCGACCGCGAUGCACAGCGCGAUGCCUGGAUACUCCACCUUUCCCACGCCGGAGGACUGUGCGACGGAUGCAUGGAUGUCGUACCGCUACCUCAAGGCCGCCAUCUUCGGUCGGCGCGCGCUAGCGGAGGCGAGGGGACGCGCGAGCUCAACGGACCCCAUCGACGUGCCGGCACUGUUUGAGAAGCGCGUCGGUGGCUACACAGUCUUGUACAACCCUAUCGAAGUCAACGAGCGGACCUUCGUGGAGCUGCUGCUGAAGCUGCAGGAGGAGGAGCGCGUUGUGAAGGCGAUCGUCGUGCCGACGCGACCGGCGUGGCGACACUUGCAGGUGUGGGCAGACGUCUUCCCGGACGCGGAGCUGAUCACCAGCGGCGAGGUACCGCUGCUACCGGCGGCGGCGGCAGUCACGUGGUCUUCUGGCGGUUGCGGCGGCAACAAAGAGUCUGCAGACAGCGCGGCGGACCCGCAGCACCGCACCACCAGGCGUGGUCGCAGUGAUGCCGCCGCCGCCGCCGCCCCGCGUGCUCCUCCCUCGACUGCAGCUGCGGCCGCAACGGAAUGGCGCGGCGGGUGUCAGGACAUGGGCAACGGCAUGACCGGACUAUCGUUUCCUGAGGUGGACCUGGUGGCCGAGGCGGCGCUUGAGCGGCAGCGCGCCGACGAGGCAGCCGCGAAGGCGAGGGCCACGGCCGAGGCGGCGCAGCGCGAGCGUAGCGCCGCGCCCGGUGAGAGCGGCCGAGAGGUGGACGAGGAGAACGACGACGAGGCGGGCGACGAAGCGGCUGGGACGAACGGUGGUGGCACGGCGGCCGAGAGAAAGCGACGGGCGAUGUUGCGCCGGCAGCAGCAUAAACGGAAGCUGCGGGAGGAGAUGCGCGCCGAGGAUGCGCGGGCGGAGGCGGCGGCUACGCGGGCCGCCGCGUCCCUGAGUGCCACCAGCAACGACAGCGGCGACCUCGUUGACGUGCUGUGGCGCGACGUCUCCUUCUUCACAGAAAAGCGCGUGCAGGCUGUCGGGCUGCGCGAGAGCGAUGCAUGGCGCCUGCGCGUCCUCUCGCCGCGCGCCGCGUCGGCUCCACAAGAGCCGCCGGUGGAUGUCCUACGCCUCACCCCGGCGAUUGAGCUGCUCCGCAUCCCCGGCGACUCUGCCGUGGAGGAGUACGUGCUGCUGGACGCCAACAGCAACAGCCUUGCGUGCACGGACCUCUACCACGGCGAGUACGCCGACCUUGACCCGGUAAACUCUUGGAUGUGCCGUGUGUGGUUCAAGUUUAUGAAGCGUGGCGACUACAAGCGCACGGACCUGGUGCCGCGCUACAAGUGGCUGCAGGUGCUGCAACAGAGGUCGCUGUCCGUGGUGCAGUCGGCCAUCGAUGACCUGACGCGUCGUCGGCCAAUCAAGUGCGUGCUCAGCGCACACGGUACCCCGCCACUGAGCGGGGUCGAUGCCGUCAACACACUGCGACGUCAGUGGAACUUGCCACCGCUGCACCCCGAGGAGAGGCCGCGGGAUAGGCGCAGGUAAGGGAAGCGAAGAGCGAGCGAGCGACGUGAGCUGCGUCUUCUCUCCUUCCGCCCUUCCGUCACCUCGCCUCUGACAGAAACAUGCGUGUGCGCAAGCACGCGCGGAUGCCCUUGGCUUUGCUCGCGCCGCGCUGCGCUGCUCGACGACGUGGUAGGGGGAGGGCGGCGGUUUGUGUUGCGCUCACGUUGACGUUCACGGAUGUCCGUUGUGUUGCUUGUCGUCGUCGUUGAGUCUCUUCCGCAGAUGACCGCAUCGGUGUGUGUAUGUGCGCCCGCGUCCGUGUCCGUGGGCGGGUGCCCGACCUACCGCGCCUUCGCGCACGCAUCCGGGGCAACCAGGAAGGAAAAACGGAAAUGGAAGUGGGAGGGGCACUGCGAAGGGGCCAAACCCCGUCUUGCAGCACACGGAAUGUUGCCAGUUUAUAACUGGAGGCCCUGUGCGAAGGCGGCUGUCAGGAUCGCACGCAAUCCUCGCGGCGCUGCACGUGACUGGCUGCUGAGGAACGUACGUGGGUGCGUCGGUAUGCGACGGCAUGUGUGGAGAGGAGUUCGGUGGCGGCUUGCUCAGUUAUCUUGUCGGCGGCCACUCUAGCGCCACCCGCAACGAAAGCCAUUGCGAGCCUCUCCCCCUCCCUUCCCCCUAUACGCGCGGUUCCGUCGUCCGACUCGCGCAUGUAUCUGGCUUCUCCAUCGUGGUUGGUCCUCAGCUCUGCUCGUGAUCCACGCCCGCGGACCACCUCUCUCUCUCUCUCUCGGCGUCUCCUGCGACGCGCGUCAGCCUAGCGCAUCCUUUUUCUUUUGUGUGAUGGAAAGAGCGCGGCCAGCAUCCGCAGCACCGUCAGCGGAGCAGCGUUUUGGUAAGCCAUCCACCACCACCACCACUGCGGGACGGCCUGUGUGCAACAGGAAGGGAGGGGAAGGGGGAGGGGGUUGGAGGCACCCGCAGCUCGCUAGAGAUCCAUCGGAGGUCCUC